rnacentral:rRNA from 1 species
CAGUAGCCGCGGUAAAACGUAGGGUGCAAGCGUUAAUCGGAAUUACUGGGCGUAAAGCGUGCGCAGGCGGUUCGUUAAGACAGAUGUGAAAUCCCCGGGCUCAACCUGGGAACUGCAUUUGUGACUGGCAAGCUAGAGUCUGGCAGAGGGGGGUGGAAUUCCGCGUGUAGCAGUGAAAUGCGUAGAUAUGCGGAGGAACACCGAUGGCGAAGGCAGCCCCCUGGGCCAACACUGACGCUCAUGCACGAAAGCGUGGGGAGCAAACAGGAUUAGAUACCCCCGUAGUCCCUGUCUCUUAUAC